rnacentral:tRNA from 4 species
UUAAGUUGUAGCUAAAGUUAAAGUACUUCACUUACGUUGGAGAGAUCACUGUUUAAGUGCUGCUUAAG